rnacentral:rRNA from 1 species
UGGAUCCAGACUUUGAUCCUGGCUCAGGAUGAACGCUAGCUACAGGCUUAACACAUGCAAGUCGAGGGGCAGCGGGAUUGAAGCUUGCUUCAAUUGCCGGCGACCGGCGCACGGGUGAGUAACGCGUAUCCAACCUUCCGUACACUCAGGGAUAGCCUUUCGAAAGAAAGAUUAAUACCUGAUAGUAUCUUAAGCACACAUGUAAUUAAGAUUAAAGAUUUAUCGGUGUACGAUGGGGAUGCGUUCCAUUAGGUAGUAGGCGGGGUAACGGCCCACCUAGCCAACGAUGGAUAGGGGUUCUGAGAGGAAGGUCCCCCACAUUGGAACUGAGACACGGUCCAAACUCCUACGGGAGGCAGCAGUGAGGAAUAUUGGUCAAUGGACGAGAGUCUGAACCAGCCAAGUAGCGUGAAGGAUGAAGGUCCUACGGAUUGUAAACUUCUUUUAUAAGGGAAUAAACCCUCCCACGUGGGAGCUUGUAUGUACCUUAUGAAUAAGCAUCGGCUAACUCCGUGCCAGCAGCCGCGGUAAUACGGAGGAUGCGAGCGUUAUCCGGAUUUAUUGGGUUU